rnacentral:rRNA from 1 species
AGUGAACGCUGGCGGCGUGCCUAAUACUUGCAAGUCGAAGGAAGUGGCGCACGGGUGAGUAAUAUAUAGCUAAUCUGCCCCUUGCUGGAGGACAACAGUUAGAAAUGAUUGCUAAUACUCCAUAGCAAGGGAUGAGACUAUAUCGUAUCAGCUAGUCGGUGGGGUAACGGCCUACCGAGGCUAUGACGCGUAACUGGUCUGAGAGAAUGAUCAGUCACAUGGGAACUGGGACACGAUCCAAACGCCUACGGGGGGCAGCAGUGGGGAAUAUUGCGCAAUGGGGGAAACACGGAGGCAGCAACGCCGCGUGGAGGAUGACACUUUUCGGAACAUAAACUCCUUUUGUUGGGGAAGCGGGACCGAACGAAUAAGCACCGGCAAACUACGUGCCAGCAGCCGCGGUAAUAC